GAUGAACGCUGGCGGCGUGCUUAACACAUGCAAGUCGAACGGGGAUAAGAGGAAACCUAGUGAAUCUUAUCCCAGUGGCGGACGGGUGAGUAACGCGUGGGCAACCUGCCGCAUACCGGGGGAUAACACUUAGAAAUAGGUGCUAAUACCGCAUAAGCGCACAGAGCCGCAUGGCUUGGUGUGAAAAACUCCGGUGGUAUGCGAUGGGCCCGCGUCUGAUUAGCUUGUUGGCGGGGCAGCGGCCCACCAAGGCGACGAUCAGUAGCCGGCCUGAGAGGGUGGACGGCCACAUUGGGACUGAGACACGGCCCAG
rnacentral:rRNA from 1 species